rnacentral:rRNA from 1 species
GACGGACGCUGGCGGCGUGCUUAACACAUGCAAGUCGAACGGAAAGGCCCUGCUUUUGUGGGGUGCUCGAGUGGCGAACGGGUGAGUAACACGUGAGUAACCUGCCCUUGACUUUGGGAUAACUUCAGGAAACUGGGGCUAAUACCGGAUAGGAGCUCCUGCUGCAUGGUGGGGGUUGGAAAGUUUCGGCGGUUGGGGAUGGACUCGCGGCUUAUCAGCUUGUUGGUGGGGUAGUGGCUUACCAAGGCUUUGACGGGUAGCCGGCCUGAGAGGGUGACCGGCAACAUUGGGAUUGAGAUACGGCCCAGACUCCUCCGGGAGGCAGAGGUGGGGAUUAUGGCAAAAGGGCGGAAGCCUGAUGCAGCAACGCCGCGUGCGGGAUGACGGCCUUCGGGUUGUAAACCGCUUUCGCCUGUGACGAAGCGUGAGUGACGGUAAUGGGUAAAGAAGCACCGGCUAACUACGUG